CGACCAGCAGCACCGCCGAGGGGAGAGGACGCGUACACCCUCUCGGAUCUCGGGGUAGUGGUGCGGCACCGACGCCGACGUCGAGGUUGGGGUGGACGCACCGCAGGAGAGGGGCGCCAUUAUAUUUGCGCAGGGCCGUCCAAUAGGGCGCAGUAUCGUCCCGACCGUCGUCGCGUGCACAUGUCGUUUGUUGUGUGACCGGACUUGUAAAACGCGCGUAAAAUCACCACCGUCGCCGUCGCCGACUCCCCCUCCCCGAAUAUACACACACGUCCCGGUGUCUUCUCGCGAGGGUGAGAUCCACGCGAGACGCGUUCCCGUCCUCUACUCCUUCUGUCUCCCGUAUUCUCUAUCUUCUCUAUCUCAAUCUCUCUUCUUUUCUCUCUCUCCCUCUCCGUCUCCAUCUGUCUCUUUAAACCCUGUAUUCUUCAACCCCCUCCGCGCGCGUCAUCGUACUCUAUAUAUUCGCACGCAGAUAUAUAAACAACAGAGACAGAGAGCGCGAGUCCGACCACGCACGAGGAUCGUGGAAAGUGUUGCGCUGCGAGACCAAAACGAAUGGGCCAGAGAUCGAUCGUCGGAGAAAACCAUAUCGCACUUUAAAGAAAACUACAUAUCCUCGUGAUCCACGUUGUAUACUACACUCCGUCGUUGCACAUCGUAUCGGUGAGUGAUGAAUCAUUUUUUAUUUUAAGAUAAUGUGGAUUGAGACGAUAAAAAAUAGUUUACUAAAAAUCAAAGGGCGUGGAAGAACUCGCUGUAAUCCGAAAUUCUCGUUUAUGUGCAUGCAAAUAUGGAAAUUAAAAAUUCUGAACGGUCUUACACACACACAUCCACACACGUGUGCGUGUUUUCCUCUCAUAUUCUAUCAUAAAUAAUAUUCGUAUUCUAAAUAUGGCAAUACAAAUAUUCUGUUAUUUAUAUAACAUUUCUCAUGGAAUAAAUAUUAAAAUAAAUAUGAAAUAUGAAAUAUAAAUAAUUAUUAAAUUAUAAGAAUACAAAGAAUAUUUUAACAUAAGUAAAAAGAUAAAUAAUUUUUCUGCCACAAAAGAUAUCAUUCAUGUUCUUUCCAUUUAUUAUUUUAUUUGAAAAUCAGGAUACUAAAUAAAUGAAAUCACCAUUUAGAUCAGAUUUAUAAAUUCGAAUAACACUUGCAAAUGUUUCGAUCUAUAUUUAUCUAUAUUAUAUAUAUCGAUCUAUGUUUUCAUAUUCUAGAAAUAAAAUAAAAAAGAAAAUAUGUUUAUUUUGUAGACAUAUAUAUGUUUAAAAUAUUAUUAUAUUAAAGAGAAAAAAUUUACUUGCUUGAAACAAAAUUUUGUAUACAGAUAUAUUCAUUAAUUUCAUAAUAAUGGGAUUAGAAAUAUAGCUACUGAUACAAGUAUAUAUCGGGAACAAAGCUCCUCAAGCUAUGUACGACGAAUUAGAGACGACGCAAAAAAAAAAAAAAAAAAAAAGGGC